UCCCUUUCUAGCCGCUCGGCUCCUCCCCCUUUUCUCUCAUCUCUUUAUUUUUUAUUUUUAUUUUCCCACACAAACCCUCCGACCUCUAUUCCUAAUGUCCCCGAUGAGGGGCCGACAACCCCUAAACACCCAAAAAUAAACCCUACUAACUUAAACCUCCCUUAAAUCGAACCAAAUCAACCCUAAAAAUUCACAAAUCUACCUCAAAAAAUAGAAGACCGUAUACCUUUGAUGCUCAACACAGCCCCCUCGUCACCUGUGGUGAUCUAAACUCAAGAUCUGUUGCACGUUAUCUGCUUCGCCUUUGCGUGCUUGGGGAAGUUUUGUAGAAGCCAUCAUCACGGGCUCAGGUUGAUAGGCAAGGGAAAUGAUUUCCAUUUUUGUUGUUUUGUUAUUUGUCCUUAUUUCUCUACUUCUUGCUUGAUGGGUGACUCUUGGAAGAGAAAUAAUGACGUUGGAGGUCACGGGUUCGGCCGGAGUGACGGCGACGUGCCAGGUUCUUGCUGGUAAUGGCUGUGUUAGAUUAGGGAUUCAAUUGGGCCAAUUAGGCCCUCUUGUAAUCGGGCCCGAGUUUGGGCUUUGAUUGGGUUGAUGAUUUGUAAUUUGGGCACAGGUCUGUUGGGUCAGUUGGGUUUAUAAAGCCUGCAAAUAAUAAUAAUAAUAAUUAUUAUAAUUAA